CCACAUUGGGACUGAGACACGGCCCAAACUCCUACGGGAGGCAGCAGUGGGGAAUAUUGCACAAUGGGGGAAACCCUGAUGCAGCGACGCCGCGUGGAGGAAGAAGGUCUUCGGAUUGUAAACUCCUGUUGUUGAGGAAGAUAAUGACGGUACUCAACAAGGAAGUGACGGCUAACUACGUGCCAGCAGCCGCGGUAAAACGUAGGUCACAAGCGUUGUCCGGAAUUACUGGGUGUAAAGGGAGCGCAGGCGGGAGAACAAGUUGGAAGUGAAAUCCAUGGGCUCAACCCAUGAACUGCUUUCAAAACUGUUUUUCUUGAGUAGUGCAGAGGUAGGCGGAAUUCCCGGUGUAGCGGUGGAAUGCGUAGAUAUCGGGAGGAACACCAGUGGCGAAGGCGGCCUACUGGGCACCAACUGACGCUGAGGCUCGAAAGUGUGGGUAGCAAACAGGAUUAGAUACCCUGGUAGUCCACACCGUAAACGAUGAUUACUAGGUGUUGGAGGAUUGACCCCUUCAGUGCCGCAGUUAACACAAUAAGUAAUCCACCUGGGGAGUACGACCGCAAGGUUGAAACUCAAAGGAAUUGACGGGGGCCCGCACAAGCAGUGGAGUAUGUGGUUUAAUUCGACGCAACGCGAAGAACCUUACCAAGUCUUGACAUCCCUUGACGAUGCUGGAAACAGUAUUUCUCUUCGGAGCAAGGAGACAGGUGGUGCAUGGUUGUCGUCAGCUCGUGUCGUGAGAUGUUGGGUUAAGUCCCGCAACGAGCGCAACCC
rnacentral:rRNA from 1 species